rnacentral:rRNA from 1 species
GCGGGCCCUACCACUUGCAAGUUCGAACGGUAGCACAGAGAGCUUGCUCUCGGGUGACGAGUGGCGGACGGGUGAGUAAUGUCUGGGAAACUGCCUGAUGGAGGGGGAUAACUACUGGAAACGGUAGCUAAUACCGCAUAACGUCGCAAGACCAAAGUGGGGGACCUUCGGGCCUCUUGCCAUCGGAUGUGCCCAGAUGGGAUUAGCUUGUAGGUGAGGUAACGGCUCACCUAGGCGACGAUCCCUAGCUGGUCUGAGAGGAUGACCAGCCACACUGGAACUGAGACACGGUCCAGACUCCUACGGGAGGCAGCAGUGGGGAAUAUUGCACAAUGGGCGCAAGCCUGAUGCAGCCAUGCCGCGUGUAUGAAGAAGGCCUUCGGGUUGUAAAGUACUUUCAGCGGGGAGGAAGGUGAUGAGGUUAAUAACCUCGGCAAUUGACGUUACCCGCAGA